rnacentral:tRNA from 1 species
UGGGGUAUCGCCAAGCGGUAAGGCACUAGGUUUUGAUCCUAGCAUCCCCAGGUUCGAAUCCUGGUACCCCAGCCA